rnacentral:rRNA from 1 species
UGGGGAAUAUUGCACAAUGGGCGAAAGCCUGAUGCAGCAACGCCGCGUGAGGGACGACGGCCUUCGGGUUGUAAACCUCUUUAGCAAGGAAGAAGCGAAAGUGACGGUACUUGCAGAAAAAGCGCCGGCUAACUACGUGCCAGCAGCCGCGGUAAUACGUAGGGCGCAAGCGUUAUCCGGAAUUAUUGGGCGUAAAGAGCUCGUAGGCGGUUUGUCGCGUCUGCUGUGAAAACCCGAGGCUCAACCUCGGGCCUGCAGUGGGUACGGGCAGACUAGAGUGCGGUAGGGGAGAUUGGAACUCCUGGUGUAGCGGUGGAAUGCGCAGAUAUCAGGAAGAACACCGAUGGCGAAGGCAGAUCUCUGGGCCGUAACUGACGCUGAGGAGCGAAAGGGUGGGGAGCAAACAGGCUUAGAUACCCUGGUAGUCCACCCGUAACGUUGGGAACUAGUUGUGGGUCCAUUCCACGGAUUCCGUGACGCAGCUAACGCAUUAAGUUCCCCGCCUGGGGAGUACGGCCGCAAGG